rnacentral:rRNA from 1 species
UGGAGGAGGAUGAUACGGGCACGACCAAACAGUCGUCACCACUCUGAGACUCGCUCCGUCAAUGUGUACGCACACGCUUGACACUGGCUUCCAUGCRCRUCUACGCACGACUAGCCCAAAURCGAUUCGACAUCGAUGUGACUCGCGAUAGUUGGUGGUUGAAGACCUCAACUUGCACGUUGUCGUGCAUGACCACGUCUUCGGCCCGAAUGCCUCRACCCCAAAGGUGUUCCUCGUACCUCGACGAUGACCUCAGGUCAGGCGGGAUCACCCACUGAGUUUAAGCAUAUCAAUAAGCGG